rfam:Oryza meridionalis cultivar OR44 (W2112) chromosome 2, whole genome shotgun sequence.
UCCUAUCGUAGUCAUGAGUUUUCGUGUCUAAUUUCGAUUGUCCAUCUUAUUUAAUUUUUUUAUGAUUAAUAUUUUUGUUGUUAUUAGAUGAUAAAACAUGAAUAGUACGCGUGACUUAUGUUUUUUAAUUUUUUCAAAAAUUUUUAAAUAAGACAUAUAUAAUUAAAGUUGGAUCCGAAAAUUUAUGACUAGGUUUAAA